AGUCUGUAAGAGGCAGCACCUGUAACAAAUUUUUUGAUUAUAAAAUUAUAUUUUGAAAUUAUGCAAAUUUAUUGUAUUUUUAAAAUAACUGAUAGCCAGUAUUUGGUAUCGUGUUAUUUCUACUUUCAUUGCUGAUAUUUGCAGUCGUUAUAUGAUUUUAUGCUUCAUAAUGUACUACUCGAUAAAAGACCGUUAUAGUGUGUAUGAAAUCGGAUUUAAUUAAAAGCUUUCUAUAAAAGCAGACCUGCAAGGUUGAGCGAUCAUCAGAAUACAAGAUAUUAGAUAUCAAAAGCGUUUGACAAAAUGAAAUUUGUCUUGCUUGUCUGCGCUUUCCUUUUAAUUGCGAUCGACGCUGUGAACGGUCGUGGCGAAUGUUCCGCGAAGGAAUACGACUAUUGCGCACGAUUUGAUAUAAUGUGUGACUCUCCUAAAUGGAUUAUAGAAUGCACCAAACCUAAAGAACAUAUCAUAUGUAAAUGCAAACUUAAUUUUAGAUGAUUUAAAAUUAACUCUUCUAAAAAUAAACAUUAAUAGACUUAUGUCAAACUAAAUAAUCGGCAUUUCUCAUUUUGUAGCACUCAAAUUCACUAUUUCGAUAAGGCUAUCAAGUUCGAUUAGCAAUUACAUUACAGUAGGCAUAAAACAUUAUUUAAUUAAAAGUUACUUGAUUCGUUUCAAAUCGCACGUUUUAUCCAAUCCUAAAUCAUGUGUAUAAAAGUGAACGCUUAGGACGACGCAGAGUUAGAAUCAAAGAUAUUUCGGUCGCACACGUUCGCUAAGAAGAUUCGACGCGAUGAAGUUUUCCUUAUUCGCGUGCGGUCUCUUUUUGUUCACGAUAAGUGGCGUGAAAUCUCGCGAACAAUGUACCCACGAAGAAUACCAGUCUUGUGAAAUUUAUACACAAAUGUGUGAAUUCCCGAAAUGGAUUUAUAGGAUGCACCAUACGUAACAACGUUCCCGUAUGCGUAUGCAAAGAUACACCUCUUACUGAGCUACGUGAUGACCAGCCGAUUUGGGCCCAUUCACAAGGUCGUUUUUUAAAUAAUGGCAAUUACUGAUAUCAAACUAGGCGAAUGCCACGUACUUGAGUUAUAGAAAAAAAGUGUAAUCUGCAUCAUUCUGAUGCAGAGUAAAUUUCAAAUUUUAAAACGCUGUUUGAUGAUGAAAAUAUCAAUCUUCAUAAUCACCUCCACUGGGUGGUACCGCUGGUGGCGGCGCUUGGGGCUGCUGCGGUGGAGCGGCUGGCGGCGCGAUUCCGGCAUUAAAAUCGCCUAAGCCCUGCGGUUGAUUCACUGCUCCUCUGUACUCGUAGGGAUUGCUCGGAGGUGCUCCGUAAGGUCCACUGGCAUAGCCCUGAGGUGAUCCGUGAAAAGUGUAAGAAGGUUCGAUGACGGUGGGGUUGUACUGCUGCUGCUGCUGGGGUUGUUGAGUUUCUCCGGUAAUCGCCGACAGGGACAGGUUAGGCAGCGACGAGAGUAUCGAGGUGAAAUAACCUUGCUUCUGAGGCUGUUGUUGCUGUUGCUGAGGUGGAGGAGCUUGGGGACUUUGUUCUUGCGGUGAUGAUAAGGUCAGGCUGGGCGAAACGUUGCCUGGUAGCGUCGCCGGUGCCUGGCCUAUGAAACUGUCGAGCUCGGCUGCCGGAACAGGAUCUGGGAGAAAAAUGAAAAAAGAUAUUUUUAGUACGAGCUACGCAAAUGGAAUUUCGCUCUACUUUCAAUUUCGAGACCCACGUCAGUUCCUGCCUUAUCAGAACUCCGGUACGCGUUUCCACCUCGUAGUAAGAUGACGACUUUUCCGCGGAACUGCCUUCGCCGUAUAACCCAAAAGUCUCCGCUGAUAAUUCACGCAAAAUCAAUAUUUAACAGGAUGCCGCCUUUGUAUCCGCGACUCGUAAUGACCGUAAGAUAAUUCGCCCUGAUAAAAAGGCCCAAAUGUGGCCCAAGCAAAAGAAUCUCUCUCUCUCUCUCUCUCUCGAGAGAGAGAGAGAGAGAGAGAGAGAGAGAGAAUCGCUCGCUAUGGGAUUAUUCAGCGUUUCGAGGGAAUUAUUGUUAAGGCGUUCUUACACGCCUUUCGGUAGUAGCGUGUAAGGCUUUGUAUUGAAAAUGCAGAUGAGUUCUAUAGAAGUGAGCGCGCGACAUGCAGAAGAUAAAAGGACACGCGUUAUCUUGAAAAUAGCUCCAAAAUUGUACGACGCAUUUAUUUAAAAAUGAGUAAUUGUUUUGUGUGACAAUGUCUGAGGAUAAUACUAUAUUCUAAAAUAUUGAGAAAAUAAAAAUUACAGGAAUUAAAAAAA
rnacentral:lncRNA from 1 species